AGUGACAGAAGAAGGAGGGAUGGCUUUAAGCUGAAGGAGGGACGUACUAACAUGAUUCAUAAUAUUCUGAGAAAAUAUCCAGCCAACAUAACACAUCCCAGGGUGAUCUAUGUAUAUAAUGGACUUCAAACUGAGACCUGCAAAGGGAGAAGAUUCUCCCCCAAGUUAUUCAUUAUCAGGCUGAUGGCAGAUGUGUCUACAGAAGCACUCUGACAUUUCCCAUGAAGCAGGUUGGUGAGACAAGCAAUGGCACGGGAGUCCCUGUGAUAUGAUAACAUCUCCAAUGCCUGUAUCUUCUGGUACUUAUGCACUUAACAUUUUAUUACUGGAGUAAUGGAUUUAGCCUUAUCUGAUAUGAGUGGGAUAAGGCAGUUUGUAUUUUUAUCUUGCCAAUAAAGUAGUUUCUGCUGGGAAGCAACUGCUUUUAUUUGCAGUUUUCUCCAGUGGAAAAGGGUGCAUCUGCCGUUUUUCUUAGGUUGUGACAGAAUAUUGUUUUAAGUGAAUGUUUUAGAAUUUGGAGCCAAAAGGAAGAUUUUUCAAGAGCAUUAGAAUGCAUGGUAUAGUAUAAUUUGAAAGUUUAUGAAACUGAAAACAACUGCACUUCAUAGAAAUGUUGGUUUAAACAGGAAUAAAUAUGUAGUACCUUGAAUGCAAUUUGGCAAGAAUUAAUAAAGCCUUUUACAGGCUGUUUAUUUCACUGUUCACAACCAUGUCAAGCAGAGUACUUUAAAUGGCAUCUCACUGAUUUCAGUGAAUCCACAGAGCAGUAUAUCUGUGCACUUACCCUCCCGGAGACACCAUCUACAUCACUCAACACAGUAAUUGUGAAAACAAUUCAAGAACUUACCAGAUAUGGAUUAUUUAUAUUCUGCAGUUUAUAUGUGACUCUGAUUUCCUCACUCAUCACAAUUUUUGUUUUAGUUAA